CUUUGCACACAUGCACGAGGCUUUUCUCUGGUUUAAAGCACACUGAACAGCACAGGUCAUUCGGAAGGAAGUUUGGUUUCAGCGUUAUUAUUAGAGUAGUCUCUAAGGCUCCACCGGGCUAAAACACUGCGGAGCGAGGUGCCGCGCUUGGCCGGGAAGGCGGCGAGGCCUCAGAGCGGCCGUCGCCGGGCUGCUGGGCCCCGCACCGCGGGCGGCCCCGGCCGUGGCAGCGCGCUGCGCCGGACCCUGCCCGUCCCACCGCCAGCGGACCAACGUGCUGGCGCAAGGCUUCGGUCACACUUGGACUAUCGGAUGUCCUCCUGUCGAGGGAGGAUCUCUCACUCACUGAAGCAGUGGUGAGGAAGGAACGAGCUACUUUAGGGAACUGGAGAGUUAAAACCACAGUGGGGUUCUCCCCAAAGCAAAGUUCAUUUCAGUGGUUUGGUCUACAGCUCAGCCACACAAUCAGACGUGAUGGCGCGAUUGAAGGGGUGGCAAGCCCGAUCAGAAGGGCAGAAAGGGACAGCUGCUGGCACGGAGGGAGGAACUAGAAGCUGGAGCGAGGAAAAGAAUUUCUUGACAUUUUGUGCAUUGCUUUGGGGAUGUCAACAGCCCCCUGAAAUUGAUGGCAGCAGGAAUCAUCUUGACAAUUGGAUCCUGCAAACUCUUAAUGAAGCCUUACCAAGGGGUUACUCACAGAAAUAAAGAAUUUCAGAUCCCACACCAAGUAAUGAGGGAGCUCUGACUACAGCUUGCACUAUUUGUCCUCUCCUGACCAGAGGGACUUGAGUGACAGUUCAAAACAAGACACUCCAAUGUAGCUGCUCUGUUUGUAAAAGCAAUGAAUGUCCACUCAGAAAUAUAGUAGCCAACCGGAUCUGUACAGAUUCCAAAUCUUCAAACCUUUAGCAGCAGUCCCUCUGGGUAACUUACCAACACAGAAGAAACUUCACACCAGUGUAGAGCCUAGCAGAGAGUGGGGAACCAGCCAAAACCUGCAUGCCUGUGGCCGAUCUCCAAUGAAGAAAUGCUCCCUAUUCAACAACAACAACAAAAAACACUGCAAACUCUUGAAUAAGAAAAUGUGAAGAGUUAACUCUAAAGGAGUUGUACUAAAGUUAACUUUAUCUAAGAGACCAGUGCAAAUAUGAUCUGCUGUCUUGUUAUUUAAAGAGAUGCAGUGCAGUAAAUAAACAAUCGUGUGGCAAGCCAACUGGCCAGUCCAUGCCUCAGUUUCCCUCUUGGUCAAGUACAGGUAAGGGAGUCAAUAUUUCUUUACCGUGCAGAGCUAUUUCAAGCUUGCCUUCAGUGUGCCAUCUGAAGUACAUUCUGUGAUAUGGAACAAACCAAAAAAGGCUUCACAAAAAGAACAAGCAGCUGCAUCCUAGGAAAUCAGAGUGAAAGACACUGAAGUACCCUCUUCAUUGUCAUGAAGGGCAACCGCAUAGGCAGAAGAAAGAAUACUGGGUGCGGAUGAGAAAGACGAUGUCUACAUUCAGAGAAGGAGGUGGAAAAGUUGUGCAAUGCAUAGUCAAGGUAGAGGAAGGGGAGAGCACGACUGGAUGAAAUGGGGGAGGAACGCAGUAACGAUGCAGGCUAAGGCUGGGCGCUGCUCUCAAAGGGUUCAGCAUGCUCCAGCAGAGAGAAGCGCAGAGGACUGCGUUCGAUUUGGCAAGUCUUGCAGCAGUUCUCCGUCCCCCUCAAAUCUGUGCAUACAGCUCAGAUACAUUUGGUACUGCCUGGAUCAGAGUGUGCUACAGGAACAGCAACUCUUUCACGUAACUUGCCCAUGAACUUCCUCAUCAGUGUGCCAAGGGGCUGAAAGGAGGACAAAGCUUUGGCCACUUGCUUUCCGGAACUAGUCUGACAGGCAGGCAAAAGGAAGCUGCAGAGAGACCAUCAUGCUUACAAAGCCUCCAGCAGGAGAAGUGUUAGAGGGUUCAAAAAGAGCAUUCAAACAAAAAUCUCCCACAGCCUGAAAUUCAGCUCUCAGUAAUUGAACACUAACCACAGACCUUCAAGAGAAAAAUCCUUCCCUCUAGUCAGCACUGCUCUGAAUAUAGCAGAGACCAGAGCAGUAUUUACAAGACUGAGAUAAGUGGUUUCACAGCCUUUAACUACUGCUUUAAAGGCAGUAGGUGAAAAUGGCUUUUUGUUGCAGACACCAUUUGGAAGCUGAAACUUGUAGCAGCCUUUGGGCUAAAUUCUGAUACCCUGUCACUGAACAGUAUCUUGCUCUUACAGAGCUGUGCUUGAUAGUAAAUUUCAAAUCACUUUAGAAAGGAAUUCAAAUCUUUGUGUUACAAGAAGACUUAAGCAUGGAGUGGUGACAUGAAGUGGAACUGGGAGUUGAAUCAAGUCUCUUCUACCUUAACCCCUUUCACCAGUUACCAGCCCCUACUGCUCCCAUUUGCUGCUGUGUGUACUGUUUUCCACCCUAAUAAACACAAGGAUUUAAAAGCAUUUCAGGAACGGUAACCAACUGACUUUCA